UACUUCACUCUUAACAUGUAAUCCAAAUAUUUUUGAAAUCGGCCCCUGGGGUCCGGAGAAAAACCGGUUCUAAUAUUCCACAUGAACAGUCGCUUUACAAAGCCUGUCUUAUUUACCCAGUAGUGGGAGUGAUUGAAAUAGGUUCCUUAAUUCACUUUUAACAUGAAAUUAAAAUAUUUUUGAAAUCGGUCAAAGGAGACCCGAGAAAAAAACUGAUUCAAAUGUUCUCCUCAGAUAGUCACUUAACAAAGUCUUUGGCAUUUGCCCAGUACUGGGAGUGGUCAAAGUAGGUUCUUUACUUCACUCUUAACAUGAAAUCAAAAUAUUUUUGAAAUCAGUCCUUGGGGUCCGGAGAAAACCCGGUUCUAAUAUUCCACAUGAACAGUCGCUUUACAAAGCCUGUCUUAUUUACCCAGUAGUGGGAGUGAUUGAAAUAGGUUCCUUAAUUCACUUUUAACAUGAAAUUAAAAUAUUUUUGAAAUCGGUCAAAGGAGACCCGAGAAAAAAACUGAUUCAAAUGUUCUCCUCAGAUAGUCACUUAACAAAGUCUUUGGCAUUUGCCCAGUACUGGGAGUGGUCAAAGUAGGUUCUUUACUUCACUCUUAACAUGAAAUCAAAAUAUUUUUGAAAUCAGUCCUUGGGGUCCGGAGAAAACCCGGUUCUAAUAUUCCACAUGAACAGUCGCUUUACAAAGCCUGUCUUAUUUACCCAGUAGUGGGAGUGAUUGAAAUAGGUUCCUUACUUCACUUUUAACAUGAAAUUAAAAUAUUUUUGAAAUCAGUCCCAGGGGUCCCGAGAAAAACCGAUUCAAAUGUUGUCCUUAGAUAGUCACUUAACAAAGUCUUUGGCAUUUGCCCAGUAGUGGGAGUGGUCAAAAUAGGUUCUUUACUUCACUCUUAACAUGAAAUCAAAAUAUUUUUGAAAUCAGUCCUUGGGGUCCGGAGAAAACCCGGUUCUAAUAUUCCACAUGAACAGUCGCUUUACAAAGCCUGUCUUAUUUACCCAGUAGUGGGAGUGAUUGAAAUAGGUUCCUUAAUUCACUUUUAACAUGAAAUUAAAAUAUUUUUGAAAUCGGUCAAAGGAGACCGAGAAAAAACUGAUUCAAAUGUUCUCCUCAGAUAGUCACUUAACAAAGUCUUUGGCAUUUGCCCAGUACUGGGAGUGGUCAAAGUAGGUUCCUUAAUUCACUUUUAACAUGAAAUUAAAAUAUUUUUGAAAUCGGUCAAAGGAGACCCGAGAAAAAAACUGAUUCAAAUGUUCUCCUCAGAUAGUCACUUAACAAAGUCUUUGGCAUUUGCCCAGUACUGGGAGUGGUCAAAGUAGGUUCUUUACUUCACUCUUAACAUGAAAUCAAAAUAUUUUUGAAAUCAGUCCUUGGGGUCCGGAGAAAACCCGGUUCUAAUAUUCCACAUGAACAGUCGCUUUACAAAGCCUGUCUUAUUUGCCCAGUAGUGGGAGUGAUUGAAAUAGGUUCCUUACUUCACUUUUAACAUGAAAUUAAAAUAUUUUUGAAAUCGGUCAAAGGAGACCCGAGAAAAAAAACCGAUUCAAAUGUUCUCCUCAGAUAGUCACUUAACAAAGUCUUUGGCAUUUGCCCAGUACUGGGAGUGGUCAAAGUAGGUUCUUUACUUCACUCUUAACAUGAAAUCAAAAUAUUUUUGAAAUCAGUCCUUGGGGUCCGGAGAAAACCGGUUCUAAUAUUCCACAUGAACAGUCGCUUUACAAAGCCUGUCUUAUUUACCCAGUAGUGGGAGUGAUUGAAAUAGGUUCCUUAAUUCACUUUUAACAUGAAAUUAAAAUAUUUUUGAAAUCGGUCAAAG